CGGCCUGAGAGGGUGAACCGGCCACAUUGGGACUGAGACACGGCCAAACUCCUACGGGAGGCAGCAG
rnacentral:rRNA from 1 species